CAAUUUAUAUUUGUAAACAACCAUGGCAGGUGAGAUAGCGAGAGCGAUAAGCAAGUCUAACAUUUAAAAAAGAUAAGAUACGGAUUAGGUACACAAUCACCUCUAUGUAGAUUUGUUGGCCAACAUAAUACAAAUUUAAAGCCUUACUUGUGUGAUUAUAGUGAUAGUGAUAACAGAAAAAUUCCUAAUACCAUACUUUACAAACCUAGUGGCAGGCUUUAUUCACAAAUCCUUAUAGAUCGUAUUGCCUACAUACAUAGAUGUAGCUUCCCAUUUACUUUCAAUCUCGCUUUCAAUAAUGAGCACCUGUGCCAACAUACCUAACAAAGACAGGGACAUAUUUUGCAGCCUUCUCCUUUAAAAUGCUACACGUGCAACUCCGCAAAUUCGAAUUUGUGCAAUGAUCCAUUUGUAAACGAUACAGUAGAAGCAGUUCGCUGUGCUUUGGUAACGCAUGUUUGUGUCAAGCACGUUAUUCCCAAUGAAGGAGUGUCCAGAGGCUGCAGCACCAAGGACUACUGUCGCAUAUACAAUGGAUCUAACAGGUGUCACACUUGCUCUGACGAUUAUUGCAAUUCCGGAUUAAAUCAAAUUUCCUCAGUCGCCGUUGUGGGAUUGGCAGUAUUCCAUCAAUUUAUUGCGAUUCUCUGUUGAAAACCUGUUUUCUCAUUGUUUGAAUUACAAAAUAGUCUUAGCA